GAUGAACGCUGGCGGCGUGCCUAAUACAUGCAAGUCGAGCGAACAGACGAGGAGCUUGCUCCUCUGACGUUAGCGGCGGACGGGUGAGUAACACGUGGAUAACCUACCUAUAAGACUGGGAUAACUUCGGGAAACCGGAGCUAAUACCGGAUAAUAUAUUGAACCGCAUGGUUCAAUAGUGAAAGACGGUUUUGCUGUCACUUAUAGAUGGAUCCGCGCCGCAUUAGCUAGUUGGUAAGGUAACGGCUUACCAAGGCAACGAUGCGUAGCCGACCUGAGAGGGUGAUCGGCCACACUGGAACUGAGACACGGUCCAGACUCCUACGGGUGGCAGCAGUAGGGAAUCUUCCGCAAAGGGCGAAAGCCUGACGGAGCAACGCCGCGUGAGUGAUGAAGGUCUUCGGAUCGUAAAACUCUGUUAUUAGGGAAGAACAAAUGUGUAAGUAACUAUGCACGUCUUGACGGUACCUAAUCAGAAAGCCACGGCUAACUACGUG
rnacentral:rRNA from 1 species